AGGAUCUGAGCAUCGCGGAUGGCGUGGCACUUCGCCUCCAGGACGAUCUGCAACGAGACGGCAAAGAAAUCCCCAUCAGCGGGUGAAGGAGUAAAGGAAGGAAGCUUGAAAACAGAUCUCCUUCAACUGCAUGGAUUUCUUCCGCUCGUUCACGGCGGCCUGAGAGCGGGAUAGAACCAUAGAGAGACCCACGUCAUGGUUCGGAACCGCAGCACGGCUCCGUGGAGAAGAGACGGAUCGAGAGCUCACGUACGAGGAUGGCUUCCCUCUCGGCCUUGAGCGUUGCUUCUUGAGCCGCCCGCUCUUCUUUCGUCAAGACGUGGGAGGCAUCCUUGAUGCGCUCAAAGUCCUUGGGGCUGAUGAUCAGGGACUCCCCCGAAGGAUCCACAGUCGGCACGCUGCACACGCAAGAGACACGAAAGGGACAGAUGACUCCCAUGACAAGUCAAGUUGUGCUUGACCAAAUUCUCUAAAUCUGCUUUGGCUAACAUAUGGCAUGGCAUAUUAUUAUUGUUGUUGUUGUUACUAUUAUUUGAUGAUGAGAAUAAUAAUAUAAUGUUAUAAUAAUAAUAUGCCAAAUCUGCCAUAUGAAAUCAUGGUUUAAAAAGCUGGAACACAACACACCAGACAUUAGACAUGUCCAAAAAAUCGUUUUGAAUCGUAUAUCGGAAUUAUUUCGGAUUGUUCUCGCUUUUUGAUACGCAUUCCGAGACAUUGUCUCACAGCGCAACCAGCAAUGUAAUUCGAACCAUCGUUGGCCCAAUCUCUAAUUAUCUCUUAAUGUUUCGUUAAUUUUUUUCCCCAAUUUUUUAAAAUAUAUUUUUAAAAAUAUUUUUAAAAAUUUUUUUUGUUUCUGCAACCUACCUAGAAUGGGAGCUUGGAGCAGUCUAACAUGGCUGCCGCUCCCCAGCCAAUCAGAAGCUUCCACGAUGGACGCAAAGGUGGGGGCUAGGGUUGAUGAGGAUAGCUCAAGAAAUGAGGGCGGGAGAGCCCUGUAAAAGUCCCCCCCCCCCCCGGUUCCUUUUUUUUUUUUUUUUUUGGCGAUUACGCAUGCGCGUCCGUCAUUUUGGAAACAUUUAGAAUCAUUAUGAAUUUUCGGAAAGAUCCAAAAUUUUGGGGUGAAAAAAUAGGAAAUAUUUUCUAUAUCGAAGCGCCAGCGCCCCCUACUUUAGAAACGAGAAUUGAAAUAUUUUUUUCAUCGAUCGGACAUGCCUACCAGACAUCACAGUUGUGGAAAAGAAAAAGGUUUGGAUCAUUGAUGUCGCCAUAAUAACUCCUCAAAACACAGCAGACAAAAAACCAGUAGAAGAAAACCGCACUACAAACUAGAGCUGACAGCUAGCACAACAAAACAUUGCAUGGAAAUUUCCUUAUUAUUAUUAUUAUUCUUUUAUUAUGACACAGCAAACAAGAUAGAUAUGCUGAAUUUCGUAUCAGAAAAUCACAAGUCGAACACUUCCCAAGUGUUUAGGACUUAUUAUUAUUAUUAUUAUUAUUAUUAUUAUUAUUAUUAUUAUUAUUAUUAUUAUGAUACAGCAAACAAGAUAGAUAUGCUGGAUUUUGUAUCACAAAAUCACAAGUCAAACACUUCCCAAGUGUUUAGGACUUAUUAUUAUUAUUAUUAUUAUUAUUAUUAUUAUUAUUAUUAUUAUUAUUAUUAUAUUAUGACACAGCAAACAAGAUAGACAUGCUGGAUUUCGUAUCAGAAAAUCAUAAGUUGAACAUAAGUGUCUAGGACUGUGUGAUGUAUUUUCGGAUGAUGUGCGCAGAUCCCAAUCGGGUGGCCUUUUGCAGUUGGCAGAUCGUGAUUUUGUCAAUGUCUAUUGUUUCCAAAUGCCGGCUGAGAUCUUUUGGCACGGCACCCAGUGUGCCCAUCACCACCAUGAGGAUUAUGAUUAUUAGUACUACUGCUGGCAUAUUAUUAUUGUUGUUACUAUUAUUUGAUGAUGAGAAUAAUAAUAUUAUUAUAAUAAUGUGCCAAAUUUGCUUGUUUGGAUACCAUAUGAAAUCAUAGUUUAAAGAAGCUAGAGUCAUUA